CCAGCACCACAAAAAAAGAAAAUUGUAUGGUUAAAAUAGGCUUAAAAGGUGAUCCUCUCUAAAACUAGCCUUAAUUAAUGAAGUGAUAGAGGAAAACUUUGAAUAGAGAGCUUUCAAAUGAUUUCACUGCAUGAUACACAUUCUUGGAAGAUGACACUUGCUUAAAUUUGACGUUGUAAAGGAAAGCUGCCAAACGUGGAGGUAUAUGCCUAUAAUCCCAGCGACUGGAGAGGCUGAGGCAGGAGAAUCACAAGUUUGAGGCUAGCCACAGCAAGUAACAAGUCAAACAGUAAAACCCUCUCUCAAAUGAAAACUAAAAAGAGUUGAGAUAUAGCUCAGUGGUAAAAUGCCCCUGGGUUCCAUCCCUAAAGCCAAAAAGGAAGAAAAAAAUAAAGGAAAGCCCUAUGCAAUACUUCCUUAUCCAAACCCUCCACUUAUAUUUUACCAAUGUAUAUAUUCUGUAUUUAUUUCUGGUGAAUUGGAACACAAGAUGAUAAGCUGAGCAGGAAGAAAAAGGGACAAGCUUUUCCUGAUUUUUUUCUCUUUCCAAAUAUGAAACUUGUUCUUAAGUAUGCUCACUGGAGUGAGAUUAUUUAUGAGAUUAUUCUAUAGAACCUAAGAGACUAUGGAGUGAAAUUAUUUAUGAGAUUAUUCUGAAAGAACCUAAGAGACUAUUUACAGUAGCUGUCGAAAAAAGCCUAUGUCUUCUGAUGUUAUUGGUACUAAGGUGCACUUUAGAAACUGAUAAUUGACCUAAUGCCUCCUAAUUGCUUUAAAUUUUAAUAUAAAAUGUGCAACAGCAAUUAUGAAGUUCUUGUAACUUUUAAAAUAGCUAUCAAUGAGCAAUGUUUAUAGUAUUCACACAGACAUCUAUCUCACUGAGCACAUUUUCAUGACUUAUGUCAGCAUUUCCAUUUAUAAAACUAUCUAAUUAAAUGUUUUUUUAAAACUGUGCUUUUAAGGGGCUAGGAAUAUAUCUCAGUUGUGGAGAGCUUACCUAGUAUGUAUGAGGCCCUGGGUUCAAUAAAAUAAAUAAUGCUUCGAGAGUCAAUUACUUAUAAAUUCAGUAGUUUAAAUUCAGGUAUUCCAGCUAUUUAGGUUAUAGAUGUCUAGAUGCAUUAAAUGUCUAGAUCCACUUAAAGACAGUUCUAUGACACAUAUAUUCAUAUAGGACAAGUCCAAAUUUAUGUUUGCUUCACUUAAUAAAUCUGAUCACUUUUAAAUAACAGAAGUAGAGACUCACCAGAGUCAGAAUUCAGAAAUCUGAUAAGGUGUGGGAUGCCUUUAUGGUUUUUUACUGCUCUUUGAUUGUUUUCAUUUCCUAUACAUAAUACACGUAAACAAUUCAUAAUAUUUACUAACACGCUUUCUAUGUUUACUGUCAAGAGAUUUAUCAGAGCUGGGAUUCCAUUCUAAAAAUAAACAAAAAGUAAUUACAUUUAAAUUUAUUUAAGAUAAAUGUAAUCUUAGUUUAGAAACAAGUCUAUAAUCUUUCUUGCUGUAAAUAUCUGUUCAUUUACAAGACAACAAUCGACUAUAAAUGAUUGUGUCUACUGAUGUGAUAAAUGACAGCACAAUUUUGAGCAAAUAUUUAUGGCAAGAAUUCAAUAAAUACAUUUAAAAAUAGCAUCUAGAACAACUUGAGGCUCCAAUUUCACUGUAAUAUUUAAUAAAUAUCUAAGAAGUGAAGCAACUAGUAAGAUCAAUUGAAUAUAUUACACCAUUUGGAAAUAUUUGCCAUUGUGAACACUGCACUGGUAAUUGGUAAUUAUGUUUGUGUAACACCAAAUAUUAUUUUAAAAUGUUAAUAUAAUUCCCUAAUUUUAAAUGGAGUACACAUAUCAUUUCUCCUUGCGAACAAAAGUAAUGCAAGAAUACCAAGAAAAAUGAGAGACAAGGGGACAUCUGCAGUGCUGAAAUAUAAUAAAUGUGUACAAGUUGCCAACAGGUAUGAU
rnacentral:lncRNA from 1 species